rnacentral:rRNA from 1 species
GAGAGGCUGGAGUCUCUCUUUUUUGUGCAGUUUAGGAGCUAAAGGGAACAGAAUGGAGAAAAUGGAACAAAUGUGUUUUCUAAUCUGUUAGACUGUAUCUAGAAAGGGGAAAAUUAUGAUUAAAGAAUUGUAUGAAGAAGUCCAAGGGACUGUGUAUAAGUGUAGAAAUGAAUAUUACCUUCAUUUAUGGGAAUUGUCGGAUUGGGACCAAGAAGGCAUGCUCUGCUUACAUGAAUUGAUUAGUAGAGAAGAAGGACUG